CGAUAACGAACGAGACCUUAACCUACUAAAUAGUACUGCUAGCAUUUGCUGGUAUAGUCACUUCUUAGAGGGACUAUCGAUUUCAAGUCGAUGGAAGUUUGAGGCAAUAACAGGUCUGUGAUGCCCUUAGACGUUCUGGGCCGCACGCGCGCUACACUGACGGAGCCAGCGAGUAUAAACCUUGGCCGAGAGGUCUGGGAAAUCUUGUGAAACUCCGUCGUGCUGGGGAUAGAGCAUUGUAAUUGUUGCUCUUCAACGAGGAAUUCCUAGUAAGCGCAAGUCAUCAGCUUGCGUUGAUUACGUCCCUGCCCUUUGUACACACCGCCCGUCGCUACUACCGAUUGAAUGGCU
rnacentral:rRNA from 1 species